rnacentral:rRNA from 1 species
CCUACGGGCUGCAGCAGUGGGGAAUAUUGCACAAUGGGCGCAAGCCUGAUGCAGCAACGCCGCGUGGGGGACGACGGCCUUCGGGUUGUAAACCUCUUUUGGCAGGGAAGAAGCGAAAGUGACGGUACCUGCAGAAAAAGCACCGGCUAACUACGUGCCAGCAGCCGCGGUACAACGUAGGGUGCAAGAGUUGUCCGGAAUUAUUGGGCGUAAAGAGCUAGUAGGCGGUGUGUCACGUCUGCUGUGAAAAUCCAAGGCUCAACCUUGGACUUGCAGUGGGUACGGGCCCACUCGAGUGCGGGAGGGGAGAUUUGAAUUCCUGGUGGAGCGGUGGAAUGCGCAGAUAUCAGGAGGAACACCGAUGGCGAAGGCAGAUCUCUGGGCCGUAACUGACGCUGAGGAGCGAAAGCGUGGGGAGCGAACAGGAUUAGAUACCCUAGUAGUC